rnacentral:rRNA from 1 species
CCCUUAGAUGUUCUGGGCCGCACGCGCGCUACACUGAUGCAUUCAACGAGUCUAAAACCUGGUCUGAUAGGGCUGGGUAAUCUUUUGAAAGUGCAUCGUGAUUGGGAUAGAUGAUUGCAAUUCUUCAUCUUCAACGAGGAAUGCCUAGUAAACGCAAGUCAUCAGCUUGCAUUGAUUACGUCCCUGCCCUUUGUACACACCGCCCGUCGCUCCUACCGAUUGAAUGAUCCGAUGAAUACCAUGGAUUGAGAGUACGAAUGGGUUCGCUCAUUUCUGCUGCUCGAGAAGUGGAGUAAAUCUUAUCAUUUAGAGGAAGGAGGAGUCGUAACA